GCGGCAACAGCUCAAAUUUGAAAUCUGGCGCAAGCCCGAAUUGUAAUUUGUAGAGGAUGCUUCUGGGUAGCGGCCGGUCUAAGUUCCUUGGAACAGGACGUCACAGAGGGUGAGAAUCCCGUAUGUGACCGGCGCGCACCCUCUACGUAGCUCCUUCGACGAGUCGAGUUGUUUGGGAAUGCAGCUCUAAAUGGGAGGUAAAUUUCUUCUAAAGCUAAAUACCGGCCAGAGACCGAUAGCGCACAAGUAGAGUGAUCGAAAGAUGAAAAGCACUUUGGAAAGAGAGUUAAAAAGCACGUGAAAUUGUUGAAAGGGAAGCGCCUGCAACCAGACUUCGCGGCAGUGUUCCGCCGGUCUUCUGACCGGUUCACUCUCUGCCGCGAGGCCAUCAUCGUCUGGGGCCGCCGGAUAAGACUGGAGGAAUGUAGCUCCCCUCGGGGAGUGUUAUAGCCUCCGGUGAUGCGGCGCGCCCCGGGCGAGGUCCGCGCUUCGGCAAGGAUGAUGGCGUAAUGGUUGUCGGCGGCCCGUCUUGAAACACGGACCAAGGAGUCUAACAUCUAUGCGAGUGUUCGGGUGUCAAACCCCUACGCGUAAUGAAAGUGAACGGAGGUGGGAACUUUUUGUGCACCAUCGACCGAUCCUGAUGUCCUCGGAUGGAUUUGAGUAAGAGCAUAGCUGUUGGGACCCGAAAGAUGGUGAACUAUGCCUGAAUAGGGUGAAGCCAGAGGAAACUCUGGUGG
rnacentral:rRNA from 1 species